UCUCAAUUGAUUUAGCAGAUGACUAGGUAUAUACAUCUAUAAUCAUUCUCUGACGGUGAAAUCUUCUAGUGUUGUUUUUCAGCGAUCCGUUCAAGUAUAUAUUAUAUUUUAAUGCGGUUACGAGGAAGGUGAAUUUCGAUCAACCUCAUCUUCCUCCACCACAAUCAACCACCGCAUCGCCACCGUGAUGUUUGCUAACAUGAAAACCCUAAGUCAAGCCUUUUCCGAGACCACCGCAGCGAUCGAGAAGACCGUACAGACCACCGUGCAUCGGUCCCAAGCCUCUCCACGACUCCGAUCUCGUGGACCAGAUUGGUUCGACCGGUCUUGCCUGGAAGCUUUAUUCAGCGAAAGCGAGGAAGAUCUUCGAUUUCUCAGCAGUAUCCGACGCUUUGCGGAGAUAUGAAGCAGUGGAAUGGCUAAGAAAAGUGGAGCAAUGUGUGUUGGAGGUGCUUCCAAAAGAGCCGUUGGAAGAGGAAUUAUGUUUAGCUCUUCGCAAUGGUCUCAUCCUCUGCAACGUCCUCAAAGAGAUCAAUCAUGGGGUUGUUCUCAAGUUGUGUGCAAGCAUCAGAAAUCGCCAGCAAAAUGCGCAACACCCUCUCAUUGUUUGAUGGAAUCGACUCCUAAAAAACGAGGGAGGCCAAAACUGUCCCUCACCAAAUAGAUGGCGGAAGAGCGCAGGGCUCUUAAGCGUAAGCGCAAUAACACUAGGAUCUAGGCCUGAAUUACGUGACGCUGGUCCUAUUUUGGCUGAUGGUGGGAGCUCCCGAGGGAAUUCAACAUGUACAACUUCCACACAGUUCUACCUACAAAAGGCUGAUCAACUCAUCGGUGUUCCUCUGGAAAAAUAUUCAGCUAACAUACUGAGGUUUCAUGACCAAGGAGGAUAGCGAAAAGCACUGGUCCCUUCCAUAUGAAAUAAGUCUAAGGUGAACACUGAUGCUGCGAUUUUACAAUCCUCCAACUGCUACAGUUUUGCUUUCGUUGCCAGAAAUCAUGCAGGAGAAUUGAUUGAAGCACGCUCAAGUUGUAAGCAAGGUAGUAUGAUUCCUGACUGACAAAAGCGAUAGAGAUUAGGGAGGCUCUGAGCUGGAUAAAAGAGCAUCAUAUGCGUGACGUGACUAUCGAAUCAGAUUGCCUGGUUGCAAUACAGGCUAUUAGAAGCUCAUGUCUUCUCAUGUCAUACUUUGGUAGGCUUAUAGCAGAAUGCAAAAGUCUGCUUUAAGAGUUAAAAAAGAGAGGACUUUAAGAGUUAAAAAAGAGAGGAGUUUUCUUAAAAUUUGUUAAACGGUCUCCGAACCACGUAGCUCACUAUUUAUUUAGCGAGGUAUAGUAAUUCUAUUGCUGAUCAUAGUUGGUGGAUGAGUAUCGCUCAUUCAGAGUUUCUUCAUGUAUAGAAGAACGGUUUGAGGAA